UGCUGCUGACUGUAUGACCUAAGGCA
rnacentral:piRNA from 1 species